rnacentral:tRNA from 1 species
AUUUAAGUAGUUUAAUUAAAAUAUUGAUUUGUGGUGUCAAUGAUAUAAAAUAUUUGUCUUAAAUA